rnacentral:sRNA from 1 species
ACCAACCGCACCACAUCUAAAACGCACCCACCAUCACGCUACAACAAUUAGUAAUACAUCUGGACAUUCUCAAUCACUUUGUCCCAGUGCAGCACCAUUCUAUUGAUUUAGUAUGGGGAUAUACAUUUCAUCUUACAAAGUCGCUUCUUCGAACUAACUUAGUGAUCAAAAAAAAAAAAAAAUGGUGCUAGAUUUUAUAACCCAACAUAAGAUGAGCCAUAGUUUUAUAAUCAAAGCUUGACAUCUGGUUCAGCAUUUCCAGACAGUUUCCGGAUGAUGUCAUCCAAAUGUCCUCUCAACUCUAAAAAAGUUAUCUC